GGACUACCGGGGUAUCUAAUCCUGUUCGCUCCCCACGCUUUCGCUCCUCAGCGUCAGUAUCGGCCCAGAGACCCGCCUUCGCCACCGGUGUUCCUCCUGAUAUCUGCGCAUUUCACCGCUACACCAGGAAUUCCAGUCUCCCCUACCGAACUCUAGCCCGCCCGUAUCGACUGCAGGCCCAGGGUUAAGCCCCGAGUUUUCACAGUCGACGCGACGAGCCGCCUACGAGCUCUUUACGCCCAAUAAAUCCGGACAACGCUCGCACCCUACGUCUUACCGCGGCUGCUGGCAC
rnacentral:rRNA from 1 species